rnacentral:rRNA from 1 species
UACGUAGGGACCAAGCGUUGUCCGGAAUCACUGGGCGUAAAGGGCGCGUAGGCGGCCUGAUAAGUAGGGGGUGAAAUCCUGCGGCUUAACCGCAGGGCUGCCUUCUAAACUGUCAGGCUAGAGCACAGUAGAGGCAGGUGGAAUUCCCGGUGUAGCGGUGGAAUGCGUAGAGAUCGGGAAGAACAUCAGUGGCGAAGGCGGCCUGCUGGGCUGUUGCUGACGCUGAGGCGCGACAGCGUGGGGGAGCAAACAGG